UUUCCUUCACUCUCUCACGUUUCCCUCACUCUGCACGCCACCUAUCACCUUGUCAUUCACGUUGACCAUACUUAAAAUCUUUCUCAAUCCCCUUAUUUAAUAACACACUCAACGUUUUUUCUGUGAAAAAAAGACAAAAGAGGAAGAAAGAGAGAGAGGCUAUCUACACUAAGAACUCUCUCUCAGCGGAAAAUAAGGAAAAAGGGCACACAGGGGGAUGCUCCUACUGAUACUCCUACCACUAUUAUCUAUAUCCCAUACACAGUAAAAAGAAAGGGGGAGAAAAAACGCAAAAACAGUUCCUCUUUUUAAGGCUCCCACUGUUCAUCUCAAAAAAACUCCAUCCUCACACAAUUAAAACACAAACCGGAUUCUCAACCUGAUCUCCAUCACAUUUUAAACCCCCUGGCUGGAAAACAGAGAGGAUAAAAAAUAUAAAACAGAAAAAUAAAAGAAACCUCUUCGUCUUCCCCUGAGCGCGACACCCACGUAACUUUCGGUCACCACCCACCUCCGUUUCACCGUGAACUUCCUUCCUCCCAUACAUCAACACACACCUCCACUAACAAACCAAACCCCUCACUCACCUGAACACUCCACAAAACUCACCAAGUAAACCAGCCAUCAACGAGAAAACGUAACCUCACGGUUUGCCGUUAAACACCACAACACCCGCCGAUCCAACCAUCCAAAUCCCUCACAAAACCGGCGAAAAACACCAUUGUCGGCACACCUUCAAAACCCGCCGCAUAACACCACAUCGACACCAUCGCCUCGCUCAUCUUUUUCCUUCCGCCGGAAUCGACACGGCUCAGCUCAUCACCAAUAAACCUCCGUUCGUGUUCGAAUUCACUAUUCACACCGUCAACUACAACCUCGACUCAACCCAUGUUUCCGCAACAACGGGAAUUUGAGCAACUUCGCCUCGUUUCUUUCCGCCGUGCUUCCACAACCGACGAAACCAAGCAACAAACCUUUCAGCUCUGCAACGACAACAAAUGACAGUAGUGACACAAUUUCGUAAUCUAUGCUGAUGGGUAUGUUGUAAUAUUCUUUUCCGGGGUGUUUUCAAUGUGAUCGUGUUGUUGUUGUUGUUGUGUGCUUAAGUUGUCGCAUUUAAAAUCAAAUAUCAUUCGCAGCUUCGACGCGUAAA